rnacentral:lncRNA from 13 species
CAGGCAUGGCUUGCCUGGCUACCAGCAGUGGGGGUAGAUGGGAAUGUUACCUUGCUGUUUGUUUGGAUUCUUCCUUGGACAACAAGAGGCUGUGCCCACUGGCUGAGUUCCCACAGAAGUAAGAUUACUGGGCUGGAAGCCCUAGUAGACAUUGCAUGCCUGACUAUCUGGGUGGGGGUGGGUAAGGUCAUAUGCUCUGCUGUCUGGGUGCUUCCCAGGAUAUUGGGAGACUUCAUCCGCCAGCUGAGUUCCCACAGAAGCAGGACCACUGGGCCAGAAGUUCUAGCAGAUGUCUGCCAGACUACCAGCGGCAGGUGUGGCUGGGAUGUUCUCAAGACACCCAGAAUAGAAGCACUGUGUCAUUCAAGCAUUCCUGAUGGCUGGAGAGCUAUCCUCAAAGUGGCACUGGAAAAGCUGCCAUAUAGUGAGUUGCCUUUAGAGAAACCCAGUGGCAAAGAACUGAGGGACGUUUGUGGCCAAUAUCCAGCCAAGAAUGAAGCUCAUCAUCUGACAUGGUUUUCCUGUGUCCCCACCCAAAUCUCACCUUGACUUGUAAGAAUCUCUAUCUGUCAAGGGUGGGGCUGGUAGAGAUGAUGGGGGCAGUUUCCUCUGUACUGUUCUCAUGGUAGUUACUAAGUUUCACAAGAUCUGAUGGUUUUAAAAAUGGGAAUUUCCCUGCACAAGUUCUCUUGCCUGCCACCAUGUAAGACAUGUCUUUGCUUCUCUUUUGCCUUCUGCCAUGAUUGUGAAGCUUUGCCAGCCACAUGGAACUGUGAGUUCGUUAAAUCUCUUUCCUUUACAAAUUACCCAGUCUUCAGUAUGUCUUUAUUGGCAGUGAAAACAGACUAAUACACCAUCCAACAAUCCUUCAGGAACUGAAGUCUGCCAAAAACUACCUGAGCUUGGAGCAGAUCUUCCAUCAAUCAAGCCUUCAAACAAUAUCCCAGCCCUAGCUAACAUCUUGAUUGCAGGCUUGUGAGAGACCCUGAGCAGAGGACCCAGUUAAGUUGUGUCUGGAUUUCUGACCACAAAAAUUAUGAGAUAUUAAAUGCGUGUUGUUUAAAGUGGUAAUAUUUUACUCAAUGAUAGAAAAUGAAUACAGUUUUCUUUUUACCAUAAUUGUUGUGUCUUAAUUUUUGAUAAUCUCUUUGUAAUAAAAAAUAGAGCUAUGUAUGUUAUUCA